rnacentral:lncRNA from 1 species
GGAAACAGAUGUGGAUAGUAUGAACAUUGAUUAACAGGUUGACUGCUUUACUGAUUAUGUCAACUUCUGUAGAGAUACAGUUAUACCCACAAAAACUGUUUGCUGUUUCCCCAACAUCAAACCCUGGAUCACAAGAGACAUUAAAGCAAUCCUUAACCAGAAAAAGAAAGCUUUUAAAGAUGGUGACAAAGAACAACUCAAACAAGUGCAACAAGAGUUGAAGAGGAGACUGAAGAUGGCAAAGCUGGAGUACAAAAAGAAGAUAGAGAAUAAUCAACAACACAGCAACAUCCCUGAAGUGUGGAGAGGAAUCAGAACCAUCUCUGGACACAGCAGUAAAAAGAAAAGACAGCCAGUGGUGGGUGAUGUGAAAAGAGUUGAUGAACUCAACCUGUUCUUCAACAGAUUUGACACUGCUGUCACUCCCACUUCCACUGCUACUCCACCUUCCUCUCCGCAACAAAUCUCCACUACAACUUCUCCCCUUCCUCCUCCAUCUCGUUCAAAUGUCACAACCACUUCAACUGCCUCCCUCCUAGAACACCAGUCCUUAUCUGUCACCGAAACAGGGGUGAUGAUGGAGCUUGGAAGACUUUGUCCUGGGAAGGCAGCUGGUCCAGAUGGUGUGUGUCCAAGGCUGCUCAGAGACUGUGCUGCAGAACUGUGUCAACCUCUCCACAAGAUCUUUAACCUGAGUCUACAGCUGGGGUGGGUACCUGCUCUAUGGAAAACAUCCUGCAUUGGGCCAGUGCCAAAAACAAAAUGUCCUGCUGUGGCCCUCACUUCACACAUCAUGAAGACCCUGGAGCGGCUGAUUCUACGCCUUCUGAGGUCAAAGACAAACUGGACUUCCCUGCAGUUUGCAUACAAAUAACACAUUGGAGUGGAUGAUGCUUUCCUCUGCAUGCUUCACCGUGCCCUGUCUCAUCUGGAGGAACCUGGGGUUUAUGUGAGGAUCAUGUUCUUCGACUUUUCAAGUGCAUUUAACACCAUCCAACACACCAUACUCAAAGACAAGCUCACAGAGAUGGGAGUGGAUCCUUCCUGUGUUUCCUGGACAGGAAGGCCACAGUUUGUCAGGCUGGGAAACUGUGUUUCUGGGACAUUAAUGAGCAGUACAGGGACUCCACAAGGGACAGUGCUGGCGCCAUUCCUGUUCACACUGUACACAUCAGACUUCAAAUACAGUACUGAGUCCUGCCACAUCCAGAAAUACUCAGAUGACACCGCUAUUGUGGCAUGUAUUAGAAAUGGACAAGAAGCUGAAUAUAAAGAUCUAAUAAGAGCCUUUAGUGACUGGAGUCACAAAAACUGCCUCCUCCCCAACACCUCAAAGACAAAGUAGAUGGUCAUAGACUUCCGUAGAUCCAAACCCCCUCUUCAGCCAGUAAACACCUGCGGAGUGGACAUCGAAGUGGUGACAGCAUAUAAAUACCUAGGUGUACAUCUGGAUAAUAAGUUGGAAUGGUCUAAGAAUAUAGUCUACAUCUACAGAAAGGGGCAGAGCCGCCUUUUUUGCCUGAGAAGACUUCGAUCAAUAGACGUCUGUAGUAAGACGCUGCAGAUGUUUUAUCAGUCUGUGGUGGCAAGUGUGCUGUUCUACGCUGCAGUCUGCUGGGGAGGAAGCAUCAAACACAAAGAUGCAAGACGUCUAAACAACUGGUGAAAAAGGCUGGCUCUGUGGUAGGACUCAAGCUGGACUCAGUGGAGGAUGUGGUGGAGAGAUGUACACUGUGGAAGGUGGAGACUAUUCUCAAGAACAUGGAUCACCCACUUCACAACACCUUGAUGGACCAAAGGGCAAAUGGUGGUGGACGGCUCCUCUCUCUUUGCUGCAAGACAGAAAGAUUUAGAAGAUCUUUUGUACCAACAGCCAUCACGCUUUAUAACUCUUUUGUAAAUAAUAGAUAACUCUUAUGUAAAUAAUAGAUAACUUUUAUAGACAUAUUACAUGAGACAACAGACAAUUGAAUUUCCCUUCGGGGAUCAAUAAAGUUUUUCUUCUUCUUUUUCUUCUUUUUCAAAACACUUUGUUUUAGCUACUGUCUCUUUGAGGCUUCUCCUGAGGCUUUCAAAGAACUGGCCAAGGACAGAGCUCGAUGUUUUGCCACCGCCUCCUCUAUUGUGGUCAAUCAGUAGAGUAGCUUUAGCGUUAGCCGCUCCACUGUGGGUACAACCUUACAUGCUGUUGGAUGCAGAUCAGUUUGCAUUGCUGAAAGCUAAGGAGAGCCUGUAACAUCUUUGUUGGAAUUUUGGGGAGUCUUGCGUGUUUUUUUUUUUUUCUUUGAGCAGUUUACAUCUAGUUUCUAAGAUUUGACAAUAUACGUUUACCUUGUAAUUUGAAACUUUGCAUACCUCUAGCAUGGACAUCAAACUUUGUAACUUUGCAGUAUUUGUUGUUAAUGUGGGACAGCAUAAUACCACCCCUGUAAGUAUUUACUCUGAAUAUUACAUAGAACUGUCAAAAGUUAGCAUGUUUUUGUCUUUGAGCAUGUAGAGGACAAAAUCAGCAAAAACAUUUGUCCACAAGGGGUGGUAAAGUUCAUCAAAGGAGCUUUAAAAUACUCUCCUUAAAAAAACAUCAUGUGAUGAGGGAUUUCCAGAUGAAAUCACAUCUUUUAAAUGAUCUUUCAAUAUAAAAAAGCUCACUGCAGUUUAAAAAGAGGAGUCACUUAUGAAAAAUACUCAGACUUAGUCCGGAUGUGCCAACCACGCAUGCAGCUUAUCACAGUUACUCUUGUUCAUUUUUGUACCUUUUGACCCUUUUUUCUUUCUAUCUUUCACUCACAAGAAUUUCCCUUUUUUGACAAAUUCUUUAAGCUUUGACCUCUCUAUAUAUACCUCAGAGGGAAUUGAGGAUUUUUAUAAUGAGAGAGCUGGCUUUUACUCCAACUACCAUCAUGCAGAAAUGUCACUUUGUGGUCAGCUGGUCAAGCUGAAGCUGGUUGGCUAAACCACUGGAUAUUCCAGCAGAACUCCAGCGAUGUUAAACACACAGAGGUUGCAGAGGAGGUAAAUAAUGGCAGGGCAAGUCAGAUAGGCCAAGAUGAAGGAGGCUCAUGGAGAAAAGGCACAAGGCGUGUCUACCCUCUCUCAUUAUGAGAGGCAACAUGAGAUCUCUGGCAAAUAAAAUGGACGAAGCAACAGGGCAUCCAGGAGCCAAGUGGAGUUUCAGGAGUGCAGCUUGAUGUGUUAUAUGAAAACAUAGCUGCAAGGACAUUCCCAAUCACCCUGUCAGCUUCCAGACUGUCUGGGCGGACUGGGGCAGCAUCAAGUGCAGAAAGCGCAAAGGAGAAGGGGUUUGUUAUGCCCUAACAACAGAUAAUACUGUCCUGGUCAUACAACAGUGAAAGAGAGAGUAUCUGUAGCUCUAUGCAUCUACUGAACUGUUAGUGUAGGGCUGUGGCCAUAUUAUUUGCCUCAGGAGAGACUUUAAUCAUGUCACCAUUGCAAAAACCCUGACUACUUUUACACAGUAUGUUAGGGGAGAGGACCCUGGACCUGCUGUGUGCUAAUGUGAAGGACACUGACAGCUUCUCUCCCCUCCCACUUCUUGGUAGGUCAGACCAGGGCCUGGUUCACCUCACUCCCCGCUAUGUGCCUUAAGUGAAAAGGAUGCCUGCGACCACAUUGACAGUGGGGAGAUAGUCCUUUGUCACAUUACAGAGCUGUGUUAACGUGACAGACUGACAGGCACUCUGUGAGCCCCAUGGGGAGGACAUCAGUGGGCUCACAGAGUGCGUCACAGACUACAUAAAAUUCUGUGUUGACUGCACUGCCUCAACAAGGGCUGUCAAUUGCUAUUCUCACAACAAGCCAUGAGUAACAAAGGACGUCAAGACUGCCCCAAACGCCAAGAAGAGGGCCUUCAGAGAUGGUCAUCUGGAUGAGGUGAGGACUAUCCAAAGGGACCAGAAAGUGAAGAUCAGGGAGGCUAAGAACAAUUACAGGAGGAAGCUGGAGCAAAAGCAUCAGAAGGGUCUGAAGGGGCAUUAAUACUAUCAAAGGCUUCAGGACACCUGGCAGUGGAGGAGUUAAAAGGCAGUGUGGAUGAUGCCAAUAAACUCAAUCUAUUCUUUAAUAGAUUUGAAACGCCGCUGCUCUUCCGUCCCCCAUCUCUGCUGUCUGCUUGCAGCCAAGCAACCCCUCUACCCUCCCACAACCCCAACCCCCUCACAGCCCUUUUCCUCUUCAAGUGAGGGUCUCACCCAUCCCCCCUCCUUCUCUGACUCCCAAGCUUACAGCCCUUCCACAGAUGAUGACCCUGCCGCCGCUCCAGUCACCCCCACAACGUCCUUCACAACUGACCAGGUUAGAAGAGAGCUGAGCAGACUCCACGCAGGAAAGGCUGCAGGCCCUGAUAGCGUUCAACCCAGGGUCCUCAAAGCCUGUGUCCCUUAGCUCUUUGGAUUGCUUCAUCAUGUCUUUACCAUGACCCUCAAUCUUCAAAGGGUCCCCUGUUGAGGACAGUGGCAUUGAUAUCCCACAUCAUGAAGACCCUGGAGAGACUUGUCCUAGAACAGCUGAGGUGGACAGUCAGACACCUCCUGGAUCCGCUCCAAUUCACCUACGAGCCCCAACUGGGGGUAAAGGGUGCCAUUACCUUCCUGCUCAACUGUGUCUAUGCCUGUUUAGUGUUACUCUACGUUGUGUUACAAUACCAGGGAUGACACCGGCAGGAUCAUUAUCUUCAUGUAUUCUCUCUUUCAGGGAUAGCAUACAAAAGGGGGAAAGUGAGGGGGGCAACCCAAAUAUAAAGGAAAGGAAACCAACAAAGAAGAAACUAACAGGAAGGAGACUGCACAUAAAAAUAAAUUAAAUUCACAAAAAGGUUCCAUAUAAGAAUAAGGGUAACUUUAUUUUAUCACCAAAGGGAAAUUCAAUUGUCUGUAGUCUCAUUUGUCAUUUGUCAAAAAGUCAUCUACUAUUUACAGAAGAAUUGUUAAGCCUGUGGGUACAAAAGAUCCUCUGAAUCUUUCUGUCCUGCAGCGAAGAGAGAGAGGCUGUCCACCACCAUUGGCCCUUUGGUCCAUCAAGGUGUUGUGAAGUGGGUGGUUCAUGUUCUUCAGAAUAGUCUCUUCCUUCCUCAGUGUAGAUCUCUCCACCACAUCCUCCGAUGAGUCCAACUUGAGUCCUACCACAGAGCCAGCCUUUUUCACCAGUUUGUUAAGACGUCUUUCAUCUUUGUGUUUGAUGCUUCCUCUCCAGCAGACUGCAGCGUAGAACAGAACACUAUAGACACCACAGACUAAUAAAACAUCUGCAGCAUCUUACUACAGAUGUCUAUUGAUCGGAGUCUUCUCAGGCAAAAGAGGCGGCUCUGCCCCUUUCUGUAGAUGAAGUCUAUAUUCUUAGACCAGUCAAACUUAUUAUCCAGAUGUACAUCUAGGUAUUUAUAUGAUGUCACCACUUCGAUGUCCACUCCACAGAUGUUCACUGGCUGAAGGGGGGGUUUGGAUCUACAGAAGUCUAUGACCAUCUCAUUUGUUUUUGAGAUGUUGAGGAGGAGGCAGUUUUUGUGACUCCAGUCACUUAAGGCUCUUAUCAGGUCCCUGUAUUCAGCUUCUUGUCCAUUUGUGAUACAUGCCACAAUAACAGUGUAUUUCUGGAUGUGUCAGUGCUGUAUUUGAAGUCUGACGUGUACAGUGUAAACAGGAAUGGAGCCAGGACUAUCCCCUGUGGGGCCCCUGCACUGCUCAUUAAUAUCCCAGAAACACAGUUCUGCAGCCUGACAAACUGUGGCCUUCCUGUCAGGUAAUCUGUGAACAGGAAGGAUCCACUCCCAUCUCUGUGAGCUUGUCUUCGAGUAUGGUGGGUUGGAUGGUGUUGAAUGCACUUGAAAAGUCAAAGAACAUGAUCCUUACGUAAACCCCAGGUUCCUCCAGAUGAGACAGGGCACAGUGAAGCAUGUAGAGAGCAUGUAUGUUUUUUUCUCUCUUGUAGGCCUGCACGAUAUACGUGUGUGCGAUAGUCGGAGGUGAAUGAACUCAGUUAAUUUCAAGGGUAGCUGACUGAGAUACACUGCAUGUGACUCUGCAUGUGCUUUGCAGCGAUCCACCAAUCACCUUUGUCCUUUACUCAGUUGCCAAUCAGACUCAGUUCUCAGUUGCCAAUCAGACUACCCUGCCAGCUGUCAAUCAAAAUCAGAGAGGAGGAAACCCACACCGGCACAUGUUCUGCACAUGGAGGGAGACGCGUGUCCGCUGAGAAUUACUUUCGGAACUUUACUGACUGUUAAGCCCAACAAAUAAGAACUGUAUGGGUUUUAAAAUGUAUAUUUCCGUGGACCACUCUACUAUAAGCGGUGCGCGUUUUGCGAGGUGCAUGCAAUUCUCGGAGGACAUGCGUUUCUCGGCACAACACCGCUAAAAACAACAAUAACAACAACAACAUUGCAAAAUGAGCAACGAACAAGAGAAAACCACAGAAAAUGAAGAUUUGUUGCCAAAAGGAAAAGGAAAGUCAGUUAUCUGGAAUUAUUUCGGUUAAAAGAAGGAUGAUGUUGACCAAAACACGUGUUCUGUGUUCAUCUGUCGCCACAAUAACUCCCAGCACAAUAAAAGCUAAAAAUAUCUCUGAGACAGACAGAAGCCAUUCUAACAUUCACAAAAAGAGGUAAGAUCAGUGCAGGUUAAUUGUCCUCAAGACUUAAGCAGUGCAGUAUAACAUUAAAUGCUAUUCAGGUCAUCUGGUGAAAAUUCCUAUAUUUUUAAUAUCGCAAUAUAUAUCGCAGGGUUCAAAAAAUUUGCAAUGUUAGUUUUUUCCAAUAUCGUGCAGCCUUACUCUCUUGCUUUGUGCCUGGUUCAGUAAACUGCACGUGCAAUUUCAGCAAGGCAUUACAUCACUUGCUUACUCCUUGACUUGUCAAUCAAAUCAGACCUCUUAGCCUACUCGACACACAAAGAUUAUCGAGCAAUCCCGAUGUUGAAAACUGUCAGGCGCCAGACUGACAAGAAAGUUGUAGCAGCAGCUAAACAUGUCGGCUUAAAAACCACGAAAGGUAGAGAAUGAGAACAGGGUGUUUUAUGGCGAGUGGACUGAGUCAUUUGCAUUCAUUUUACCCGCAGGAAGCACACAGCCAAUUGAAAGUAGGCAGUUAUUAGCAAUACAAAUGAAGUGAAUAUUUCAAAAGAGUAAUGCACUGUAAAAAAAUAAAUAAAUAAAAAUCCCUGGACCCAGGCCUGCAGGCAUUUCAUUCAGGUGGACCCACUGAGAAUUUAUAUGAAGACCCCUGUCCUAGAUCAUUGACUGCCUGACAAGAAGACCACAGUUGAGACGCUCACAAAAAACACUGUGUUUUCCCCUUUACUCUCUACUCCACAAACUACAAAUGCAUCACAGAGUCCUGCCAACUUCACAAGUUCUCUGAUGACUCUGCUGAUGCAUGAUGUGAGCUGAGCUAUCUUCAGCUCAAUGUGACAAAAAAUAAGGAACUGAUGAUAGUGGGUCUGUGAAGGACAAAGACGCCAGUGACUCCUGUUUCCAUUGUGGAGGACUGGUCUAAGAACACUGUCUAUAGGUGUUUUCACACUUGGUCCCCUUCAGCCCUCUAUACGAACUCAGAUCAAUGUGAACACUCCAACUGACUCAGACCCCUUUAAAAGAAAACGUUGUAUGGUUUCCUAAAAAAUCUGCGGUAUGUUUUGUCUAAUCUGAUAGAUUCACAUCGCCUUUUUGCACUGCAUUAUAACCUUUUUUGCCUGCCGUAGAUUGGUCACACAUUGGAGUGAAUGAUGCUGUCCUCUACAUGCUUCACCGUGCCCUGUCUCAUCUGGAGGAACCUGGGGUUUAUGUGAGGAUCAUGUUCUUCGACUUUUCAAGUGCAUUCAACACAUCCAACCCACCAUCAGCAGUCAGGCUGACUCAUAGGGGUAGGGAAAAGAAAGAACACCAAAUCCAAAGUAUGGCUUUUAAGAUUCUGCUACUAUACCUGGACGCGGUGGAGCGACGCGGCUAAACUGAAUGUCUUGGAAAUUUGAAAUGAUGAGACACUAAAAGCAGUUCAAUCAGGACCACUUUAGUAAAAAUUAAAUGUUGAUUGCAAGUAGACAUUUUUACAUUGGUGGUAUGGCUCUGUUCUGAGAGUUCCCUGCCCUUCUAUGCGCUUGCAUGGAAUGCCAGGGCUAUAAGAGGGGAGAGCUCCUCCCCUCCCUUUAAUGUACAUACAUGAAAAGCCAUGGCAGAGAAAGCAACAGCAAAUAAAUACGAUUGAGAUAAAUAAACUAAAAUUCCCCCACAGAACAGAGCAAGCAUUAGUGACAACACAUAUGACACUGGUAAGAUCAGACACAACAUAAACAGGAGGAGCUGGGGUGGAGGUGGAUUGCAGAGUGGUUGCAGCAGGCAGAGUAGGCAGGAGAAGCAGUUUAAAUAGGGUGGCAUUUUAAAAUUUGCCAAUUGGAUGUGUAGAGGGCAAUCAGCUGAGCUGUCAGCUGACUGAGGGCUGGCUUAGGAUCAGCUGACUGUAGCCUUUAGCUUAACUUUGUGUCCUGCCUGAACUAUCGCUAUGCUCAAUAAUUAUAUACGACCCACUGUAAUGCAAAAGUCUUAUAAUCGGCCGGUUAUAAUCGAACAUCUGUACAGUACAGAGUUAAAGUAAAAAAUAAAAAACACAAGUACCUCAGCACUCGUGAUAAAAUGCUCCAGAGGACCUCUUGUGAACAGAACGAGUACUGAGGCCACAUCAAAACUGAACUGGACCAGAAAGAGAGCCAGGUCCUCUUUGAAAUAAACUCACAAUGUGAACACAAAAAGAACUGAAUUCUUUUGCUUUUGGUCAACUUUUUGGUCUACUUAAAGAGGACUGAGUGCGUUUUUUUUUAAAAAAGGGACCAAGUUUGAAAACACCCUUCGGGUAUCAGAUACCAACAGACUUAUUAAACUCAUCUGCAAUUCCAGUGACAUUGUGGGAGUACAGCUGGACUCUUUGAUGGUGGUGACAGAGAGGAGGAUGUUGUCAUAGCCACAUGUAACCUUGGACAGCAUCCACCGGUCACUCCAUUGCUGGUUAAACAAGGAGGAUGAAAGGCAGUGCGGAAGAGGUGUGUUUUGAGAAGGGUCUUGAAUCUGGUGAGGUCAGUGCAGUUUCUGAGUUCGAGUGGGAGUGAGUUCCAGAGGGUGGGGGCGGCGACUGAGAAGGCUCUGUCCCCCCAGGUUCGGUGCUUGGUCAGGGGAACUGUGAGGAGGUUGGCAUUGGCGGAGCGGCGGGUGCGGGAGGGGAUGUAGGGGUGGAGAAGAUCCUGUAGGUAGAGGGGGGCGAGGUUGUGGAGUGCUUUGUGGGUGAGGAGGAGGAUUUUGUAUUGAAUGCGAUGGGGGAUGGGGAGCUAGUGAAGGUUUUGGAGGACGGGGGUGAUGUGUUGGUGGGAGCGUGUGUGGGUGAGGAGGCGGGUGGCAGAGUUCUGGAUAAUCUGAAGUUUAUUGAGGAGAGUGGAGGUGGUGCCAUAGAGGAGACUGUUAGAGUAAUCUAGACGAGAUGAAAUGAAUGCAUGUAUAAGGGUUUCAGCUACAGGGUAGGAGAGGGAGGGGCGGAGGCGGGCGAUGUUUUUGAGGUGGAAGUAGGCUGUUUUAGUGAUUUGCUUUAUGUGGUGAGUGAAGGAGAGGUUGCUGUCGAAGAGAAUGCCAAGGUUGCGACAGUGGGAGGAGGGGGAGAGGGUGGAGUUGUCGAUGGCGAGAUGAAAGUCUGUGACUGUGGAGGUGAGGGAGUUUGGGCCGAUGAUGAGGAGAUUUGUUUUGUCAUAGUUGAGCUUGAGAAGAUUGCUGUCCAUCCAGUGUUUGAUGUCAGAGAGGCAGUUUGAGAGGGAGCGUUGGGUCUGGGGGGUGAUGGAGUUGGAAGAGAUAUAUAAUUGAAUGUCAUCAGCGUAGCAGUGGAAGUGGAGGUUGUGUUGAUGGAGGAUGUGGCCAAGAGGGAGGAGGUAGAUGAUGAAGAGGAGGGGACCAAGCACCGAGCCCUGGGGGACACUUUGGGACACGGGGGCGGUUGUGGAGGAGCAGUUGUUAAUAUGGAUGAAGUGAUUCCGGUCUGUGAGGUAAGAGUGGAUCCAGUUAAGAGCGGUGUCAGUGAUAUUGAGGAGGGAGUGUAGGCGGGACAGUAGGAUGGCGUGGUCGAUGGUGUCGAAAGCGGCGGAGAGGUCGAGGAGGAUGGAGAGUUGGCCGGAGUCAGCAGAAAUGAGGAGGUCGUUUGUGACUUUGGUGAGGGCAGUUUCGGUGCUGUGGUGGGUGCGGAAUCCUGAUUGAAACUGUUCAUAGAGGUUGUUAUUGUUGAGGUGGGUUUUGAUUUGUGAUGCAAUUACACGUUCGAGGAUUUUUGACAGGAAAGGGAGGUUGGAGAUGGGCCGGAAGUUAUUGAUGUAGUCGGGGUUGAGUCCGGGUUUUUUGAGGAUGGGGGUGACAGCGGCCAGUUUGAGUACAGUAAUACUCUGUUACAAUAUUCUGUGCAAUGUCCUAUGAACUGGUUUUGUAUAUACUCUAUGCUUGUACAUGGCUUAUUUUUUGUGCACUGUGCUUUGUAAAUAGCGUAUUAUUCUGCACUUCUUACGAACCAUUGUGGUUUCUUAUUUCUUCUUAUUAAUUCCUAUUUCUAUUCUCCUUUUACCAAUAUUUGUAUUUCAAAAGCGGCCAACAAUUAGGAUUGGGAACAAACAGCCUGGUAUUACAAUAAGCACCAGGGACAACAGGUGCUUCAGGUUUAUGUAUUUAGUGAGCUAUAUCAGGGCUGGUGGUGGGUCACAGAACAACUGGGACUUGUUUCUGUAAAUACCUCAAAGCUAAUAAGCAUACAGAGUUCCUAAAAAUUUGGCAUGCUCAUUCAACUCAUUCUUCUUUUCUUGAUUUAUUGAGAACCACACUUACACUUCAGUCUUAUUGGAGCAAUGAUUGUAAAUUAAUCAGGUUGAUAACCUUCAAAAAAGCACAAAAGACAUGUAAUAAUUAAAAAUCAUUGCUUAAAUAAACAUUUCUUUUUUAUCUACUCAUAUUAUGUAGACAUCAUUGUCGUCAUUUUUACUAAAAAAAAAUUCUUUAGGGUAAAAGAAAUCAUACCAGCAUCUUUCAUUGAAUCCUGACUCCUUCACCUUAGUGUAUCAGUCAAAGAAGGUCCAAGCAGGUGUUAAGGAUCCUCUGAUUACCUGCCAGUCUUACAGAGGCUGUGUCUCAAUUCAGGGUCUGCACACUUAAAGUGCAGAUUUCAAGGGCACAUAACGUCAUCACGGAGUGCAAAGGUUGUCCCAUUUGGCUUGCAAUUCUGAGAGAGCUUAAAAUGUGGUCCCCAAACCACCCUUCCCCCGCCCCUUUUUCAAGCAUGCAUUUACGCACACUUUGUGGCCUUGGAAUCCCCAGAAUUCUUUGCAUGCUGCUGCACAGCUGCGCAUUUCAGGUGAGACGUCAAAAAAGUUCGGAGGCGAACGCUCAGGGGCGGGGCUACAGGGGGGCUGGGGGGGCAUGCCUCUGAGUUAGCGGGGGAACAUGGGGGAGUCAGGCCCCUCCAAGCUGUGGAGGGAGGGACUCUUCCACGGCUUGAGCAUGCAAACAGUUUUUUUUUCUAAUCACCAAUGUUGGAGCCAUUAUUUAGUUUCUUUUGUUUGUUUUAUUUCUUGUUUCUAUUCCUUGGUUCUUUGCAUCGUAAAAAGGUAUUUAAGUAAGCCCAGGUAGUGAGCCAGGUGUGGAGGGCAGAGCUAUACAGAUUUUUGAGCAUGUCAGCAUGGCAGCAGGUGAACUUUCUCUUUGUUUGAAUGGAAAUAAAUGGGUCACCGUACUCAAAGAAAGAAUAUUAGAAUCUUGGUUUUUAUUGUCACAUCACACAUCAGAAUGGGUUCUAGCCCUUCACCUACUGGAACUCAGGUGUAUAGUCUCAGUGGAAAGACUACAUUUAAGUCAAAAAUCUUGAAAGAACUUGCCGAGGGAUCCCCGUUCACAUGAGAGUGGUGACAGGUGGGCCGAGAGCUGGGCCGGGAGAUCGCUGUGAACUGGGCCGAAGGAUCGCCUGGAGCUGGGCCAAGGGAUCGCUGUGAACUGUGCCGGGGAUCGUCGUUCACGGGACAGUUGACUGGUUGGACGUUGUCGCUGGAUUCCGGGAUGGAUCGUUUGGAUGGGGGUGGUGCGAUGACGAGCUGAGCCGGGACCACGGACUAUCAGCUGGUCACUUUUUGUUGACUAUCACAAGAAUGGACCGGAGGUAUGUGUAGCAUGAGAUAUGGUUUAAAGCAAAAUUGCUGAGUGUAAAUAAAUUUACCAAUGCCGUGCACAGGUGGCUCACAAACACAGACACUCUCAAACCUGCCAAAAAUGAUAAGGAUGAACAUUGCGCCGAAAUUGAAGUGAACCCAGAUGACUGCAUUUCCAACAUAGAAACAAACAUUUUAAGUAAAACAUCAAGCCGGAAAUGUUGUGCUAGCUCAAAAAGCAGCAAAUCAUCUUCAGCAUCAGCCCGCAUCCAGGCUGAGGCAGAGAGAGCUGCGCUUGAAGCUCGCGCCACAAGUUAAAGGAGAAACACACUCUGGAGGAAGAAACAGAGGAGCUGAGGAGGGGAAAGGAAAGACUGGCUGCUAAUUUAGCAGCAGAAGCUGCUUUUAAAAGUUUUUUGGCCUCCAGUCACCAUGCUCACUCAAAAACACACACAGAUGGCAUGGAGUCAUGUUUUGAAAAGGCCAGAAAAUUAAAGGACACUUUAACAACUUUCAACAACCAGGAGCAAGGAGCAAGGUUAAAGGAGGCAUCCACCAUUCUCAACCCACAAGCAAAAGAAUUUCUGCCUACCCCUUUGGACUCACAGCAGCAACAACCAUUUAUGCAACAACAAAACAAUAACCAGGAUGCUCAACUAAGAGAAGCAACAAAGCAUGUCAAUCACUGUCAAGUACCCCUUUAAAUAAGUGAUGAAACACCAACACUCUGCUACUUAUUGCAAAGAUAAAAUGAAAUAUCAACAUUGCUAAUCCAACAACAAUAUGCUCAUUUACUACCACCACGAGAAAUUCCAUCAUUUGAUGGGGACCCGCUGCAGUAUAGAACAUUUAUCAGAGCCUUUGAACACUGCGAGGAAAGAAAUGCUGGCAGCGAAGGGGAUUGCUUGCGUUUUCUAGACAAAUACACAAGAGGUCAGCCCAAAGAUUUAGUGCAUAGCUGUCAGCAUAUGGCUUCUGACAGAGGCUACAUUAUGGCUAAGGGUUUGUUAGAGAAACAUUUUGGAAAUGAACACAAAAUCACCACAACAUACAUGGAGAAAGUCCUCAACUGGCCAGCAGUAAAACCUGAGGAUGUUAAAUCCCUUCGAGCGUAUGCCCUGUUUCUUUGUGAAUGUUGUAAUGCUAUGGAGGAUGUGCAGUACAUGAGAGAACUGGACAUGCCAUCUAAUAUGAGAGCAGUGAUCUUAAAGCUUCCAUAUAAGCUAAGAGAAAGAUGGAGAGUUUCUGCCUGUGAGAUAAUGGACAGAUUCAAUCGCAGGGCACACUUCAUGGACAUUGUCACAUUCAUAGAGCACCAAGUGAAAAUUAUAUCUGACCCAAUAUUUGGAGACAUUCAGAAUACACAACCCACAACAACAUACAAAAAUGUAAUCAGGAUGAAAUCACAGUCAAAGCCACGGUUCAAAGGAGACAGUUUUGCAUGACUGUCUCUACCGUCAAGACACCUGCAUUCAAGGAAAAUAAGAUGUCUUGCAAAAUGUCAAUUGCAAAAUGGUUCAUCUGCAAAGACAAGUGGAAUGUGUAUGUGCUGCUCUAAAGACCACUUACUGGAACAGUGUCCACAAUUGGAGGAGAAAUCACACAGAGACAAGAUAAACUUUCUAAAGGAGAAAGGAGUUUGCUUUUGUUGUAUCUGGUCUGUCCGUGCCCUGUAGAUGCAGAAGAAGGCUUUGUGACACUGGCUCGCUUGUAUAAUAGGAGUUUAUUAUAAAGACAACACCAGUAUCAAUACAGCACUGCAGCUGCUGGGAGAGGACUGCCAAUGAUGUCCAGCUCUCCCAAACCAGAGUUUGUGACCCUGUUAUAUAGGGUCAGGGAUGUAGGUCCUCCUACAUUCUCUUUGUCCCCGAGCUUUCUUUCAUUACCAUCAGGUUUUUAUUUAACCUAGAAUUGUGACCUGUGUCCUGUGUCCUGUGACCUGCAAACGUGCAACUUCCAGGAUAUCCCAACCCAGGUACCAUUAAAAAGACACAAAGAAAACACCGGCCCAUAAUCCACAAUUCGGCCGCCUCAGGCUAUUCCUGAGAAAUACCUCAAGGCACUGCAUAUAGAUACCGCAUAUUUCCCCCCUUCGAGAUUCCAUAGACUCCAUAGAGUCUCGAAAAAGGCAAAGACAUUUUUACAAUUUCAAUUUACUACUAAAUUUUGGAGUGUGAGAGCGAAAACCUGUCGUCCUGGUCAUCCCAUCGAACCCUCCAGUGGACCUAUCCCUGCCUA